CCGUUGGUUCCAAGGUAGUCUUGUGGCUCCUCCACAAUUAUUAGAUUUUUCCAAUUUCCCUUCCUAGAUUUCCCCUCAAUACGCCCCUGGUAAAUAUUUCCCAUCAAACUUCGGGUCUGUGACACUCAUAUUAGAAGUGGUGAGUGUAUGAGUAUGUCAUACCUCUCAUAAGCAGCUGUCAUGUUGCGAGUGUCACUGAGGUCGAGUAGUUUGAAGACCGAGGGCAAAACAUUACCUCGCCCUUUUUAUACUCGCCGAUAGAUGGUGCACACCUCAUUAAUGAAAUAGGGUGUGACACAAAAUCUAAAAACAUAAAUGUUGAACAUAAAAUAAAUGUUAAAUGUUUGUACCGUCGCCUAUAAAACGCCAAGCAUCGAAGCAAUCGUUCUCUUUCUGUGGCAAAUGCUGGAACGUAAUAGUAGUGCGCGCGUGUGUAGUUUUUUAGUUGUAAUUGAGUUGUUAGUACGUCAUACACAAUACCGAAAUAAGUGUAGUGGCCGUUAGUACGUUAAAAUGAAGUGUUAGUACGACAAAUAUGUUGGUUUCCAUGCAAGACAAACCACUCAAACAGAUAAUGUACGAAGAACAACAAAUUUAAGAAAAAUAUCUACAAGAAAAGGUCCAGACAUUGGGCCUUUUCUUUUUAUUUGUGGCCUUUCUUUGCCAGAAAUUUGGAACCGCAAGCAAUCCGGUUCGAAAGUGCGUGCACAGGGAGGAAUCCAGCCAGCAAAAACCGCCAUUGCGACGACCAGUACCCGCUAUAGUUCGUCUACAGUUGCAAGACGCCAUCUUGCCAAACGAAUCCUGUCAGAGCAUGGUUCCGACUCCGGUUGGCCAAAUCUCCGACCAUCACCAUCCAAACGAUGAGCGGACUGAUCACCCGCUCGUCCAUUUCCGUCAAGCCAGACAACCGCCAUCGAACAGCAGCAGUUCCCAAACAGUUCAUCAACCACAGACAAACCGCAAGUAGAACCACCAAUGAAAAUGUGACGUCACAAUAAAUUUGUAAACUUUGUUAGAAACCUA